UACGGGGGGGGCAAGCGUUGUUCGGAAUUACUGGGCGUAAAGAGCGUGUAGGCGGCCAAACAGGUCCGUUGUGAAAACUGGAGGCUCAACUUCCAGACGUCGACGGAAACCGUGUGGCUAGAGUCCGGAAGAGGAGAGUGGAAUUCCUGGUGUAGCGGUGAAAUGCGCAGAUAUCAGGAAGAACACCAAUGGCGAAGGCAGCUCUCUGGGACGGUACUGACGCUGAGACGCGAAAGCGUGGGGAGCGAACAGG
rnacentral:rRNA from 1 species